rnacentral:rRNA from 1 species
UCAUAUUUGAUCUCUGGCUGUGUAGGAAUACCCGCUGAAUUUAAGCAUAUUAAUAAGCGGAGGAAAAGAAACUAACAAGGAUUCUCUUAGUAAGGGCGACUGAAGCGAGAAUAGCUCAAGAUGUUAAUUGAUGUGUCACGCAUCGAAUUGUGGUCUUUUGAUAUUUGUGUUAAAGUGUGGAUGAAGUCUUCUGGAAAGGAGCGGCAAAGAGGGUGACACCCCCGUGAAUCUACGCUGUAUAACUUUUAUCAUUGAGUCGAGUUGCUUGGGAUUGCAGCUCUAAGUGGGUGGUAAAUUCCAUCUAAAGCUAAAUAUGGUUGGGAAACCGAUAGUAAACAAGUACCGUGAGGGAAAGAUGCAAAGAACUUUGAAAAGAGAGUUAAAGAGUACCUGAAAUUGCUGA